ensembl:lincRNA
GGGGAAAGUACUUCUGUGUAUGUGUUUGUCUUACUGGUUGAUAAAUAAAGUACUGUUUGGCCAAUGAGGCAGCAAGUUAGGCAGGACUAGGAGUCAAGGAGGAUUCUGGGAAAUGUAGUAAAGAAGUGGUGAUCCACGCAGGAAGUGACACAGCAAGGAGAUUCAUAAACAAGGGUAAGAAGGAAGUGGGCCCCUUUUCUCUUCCUCCUGGUCUCUGCUCUGGAGUUGCCAUGUGAUCCUUGGGCAAGAGAGGGCGCCAGCGGAAGGCAUCCUCUAUAAGAUAAGUCUUAUAAAACAUAUAGAUUUAUGAUAAUUAAGACUGAGCUAACAGAUGAGAAAUCCUAGUCUUUGGCCAAGCAGCAUUUGUACCUAAUAUAAGUCUCUGUAUAUUAUUUGGGGCCCUAACUUGGCAGGCAGAACUCAGGUGGCUGGCAGAAAGCGCCCACAUGGUGGUAGGGCUCGGGUGGCUUUUGGUGGAAAGAUUCAUUUUAACAGUAGUCAUUAUUUCUUUUACCAAAACUUCUGGUUAUAACUGAUUUUUGUGUAAUUCAGAAAAUUUGUUUUUGGAAGAUGGGUCAAUAUUUGUUGAACAUGUAAUGUGUUUGUGGUGAUAUUUUCAGUAUCUCCACAUCGAUACUAAUUUUUUCUGACAAUUCUGUGAAAUAAAUUCUAUAGCAUUCAUAUUUUCCAGAUGAAGAACAUGACAAAUUACAAAAUGAAAGUCUUCGGUCAUACAGCUAGAAUUCUUGAGUGUAUGCACAAAACUAAUUUCCAAUUCUCAUCUUGUUCAACAUUACUCAAAAAGAAAUUUUCCGAUCAAUUUUGCUAUGCAAUGAUAAUUGUUCUUCCUGUGAUCAAGUCACACAAUGAAGUAACUUUUCCUCCAGUGGGAAACACUCAGAGCCUUCAUUGCUCUGUGACCAAGAAAAUAAAUUCCUUCCCAACAGCCUCCUCCACAGGCUUAUCAGAAUCCAGUCAACUCCUGAUGCUUUUAUUCCUUCACUGCCUUUGCUUUUAUCCUGUUGCUUUUUCUGAAAUAACAUUUCAAGUGAUUAAAGCAUAUUUACUUAUCAUAGAAAAUACACAAGAGAAAGCUAUUAGAUAA